rnacentral:rRNA from 1 species
UACGGGAGGCAGCAGUGGGGAAUAUUGCACAAUGGGCGCAAGCCUGAUGCAGCCAUGCCGCAUGUAUGAAGAAGGCCUUCGGGUUGUAAAGUACUUUCAGUCGUGAGGAAGGUGUUAAGGUUAAUAACCUUAGCAAUUGACGUUAGCGACAGAAGAAGCACCGGCUAACUCCGUGCCAGCAGCCGCGGUAAUACGGAGGGUGCGAGCGUUAAUCGGAAUUACUGGGCGUAAAGGGCACGCAGGCGGUUAAUUAAGUUGGAUGUGAAAUCCCCGGGCUUAACCUGGGAAUGGCAUUCAAGACUGGUUAGCUAGAGUCUUGUAGAGGGGGUAGAAUUCCAUGUGUAGCGGUGAAAUGCGUAGAGAUGUGGAGGAAUACCGGUGGCGAAGGCGGCCCCUGGGACAAAGACUGACGCUCAUGUGCGAAAGCGUGGGGAGCAAACAGGAUUAGAUACC